ensembl:lncRNA AC114093.1
GAACCCUGACUAAACAGAGCAUAUAUUCACCAUGUUCAAGGCCAUAGGUUGAAUCCCAAUGUCCCAAACAAACAACAAAAAAGGGGGUAUCUGCAAGAGAAGUAGGGGAUCUCUGUUGAGCACCCGACCAUAUCCUGAGACUGGGAGAAGCCUACAUUUGAGUGGCCGAUGACUAACAGCUGUAGACUUCCUUCCGACACAGGAUGCCACAGAGGAGCGCAGAGAAGGCGUAGCUCAAAGCCAGUAACCGUAUGUCACUGUAUGGCCACCCCCAAAUGAUGCGCUGUGGUUACUGUCACCAUCAGGACUGCAAGUUGCAGAGGAGAGGGACAUGGAGGGCUGUGAGCAGCUGCAUUUUCACAGAUGUUCCUCUCUUAACUUAUAGGAUCAACAAGGCACCUGGUAUACCGAAAGAGCCCUGGUACUCAACUACAUCGGCUUCUCACUGCAUGGAUAACAUAGGGCCAGCCUGGUCUGUCCCACAAUAACACGGUUUCACCGUCAUUGUUGCAAUGAAGUUAUCAAUUUCCCAUAAGACUUCUUUGGAAAACUCUAUUUACGGAGAAGGAUUAAUAAUCAAAUGACAUAAUGGAGACUCAUCCCGACCAGCAAGUUAGGAGAAGACGGCUUAACAAGAGCAUCUGAUGUUCCCAAGUUCAUUGGAGACGAGGCAGAGGAAAUACGCGCAGAGGGAAGGCUAAUGGCCCAGAAGGAAUGCCGUGUCACGGACAAGGCCAUUAGCUCAACGGUGUUCACCUGCCCGUCCCACAGCUGUGCAAUUACUUAUGGGAGAAAUAAAAAUGGCG